AAUAGGUGAAGGGUGGGGACCAAUCAGAGGAAAACAUGCCAAAUGGGAAGACAAGUUCCCAAUCUGGUCAGAGGAUUUAACUUGCAGCUUGGCUUUCAGGCUUUAAACUGUCUUCGGCUUGAAGGUGGGGUUUUGCCAUGGGCCCACCCCUAUCUGCCUAGGCAUUUGUCUGCCUCUAUCAAUGUCAGAAUGAAGACUGGGAGACCUGCUGCUCCUUCCAUUGAACUAGAAAACGAUGAUGAAUCAGACCUGGUUCCUCCACUGUAGUGAACAGAAAGGCCCAUCUGUCUCCCGCCUCCUAGAAUAGACACUAGGCUUCCAGCGGCUUGACUGUCAUUGUUACUGUCUAUGGAAUGAAUCUUACUCUGGAAGGAGAUUGGACUUUGGAACAGGCUGACCUGAAUUCAGAUCCCAGCUCCACCACUGACAAACUGUGUAACCACUGGCAAUGAAUACAACCUCUCUCAGCCUCCGGUUCCCUAUCAAAAACACCGUGGUAAUACUGUUAUCUUCAGAAAGUUGUUGAGAAGAUUAAAUAAAAUUGUGUUAAUAAACCAAAG
rnacentral:lncRNA from 10 species